GGAGAGACUCGUGGGCACCACACUUGGCCGCGGCCCCGGGGCGCGCGGGGCCCCGUCCUGCUGGUGCGCGGGGCUCUGGAGCCAGAAAGUGUACACAGACCAUAAAUCUCCUGCCCCGCCCGGCGCCGGGCCCCUCGCUCCGGCCCUGGGAGCUGCGGCCGGCUGCAAAGCGCUGCUGGGACCCGCCGCAGCUCCAGGCCGGUCGCAUCCGUCCCGCCGCUGCAGGGGCACCCCCGGCAGCCUGGGGACUCGGGUCACAGGCUCCCCGGCAGCGGCGGGGGAGGAGGAGGAGGAGGAGGAGGAAGAGGAGGAGGAGGAGGCGGGGAGAGGGGGCGGAGCGGGAAGCAGGCGAGGCCUGUAGGGAUGCGCACAUCGGGAGGCCAGGUGAGGAUGGAAAGAGAAAGGAGCGAUUAGGAGCACAAGGGAGGGGGGGGAGCCUCUGAGCCUUCUAGAACCCUCAGAUCUUUCCACGUUGGGGUGGAGGAGGACAGCAAGUGUUCGCGGCCACCAUUCCCUUACAGAUGUGUUUGUAGCGAGCUCUCCCCGCCUUCGCUCGUCAACCUUGUGCACCAGCCAGGGCGCACCGGGAAUGCGCUCUCCCUGGGGGUGCAGCCAGAGGAUUCUCCGUGGAUGUCUCUGUGGGGGUGUCUCCUCUCACAACGUUAAGUGGAUAUCUGAAAUAAGGAAUGGAGUGAUUCACAAAGAGAGAGAGAGAGAGAGAGAGAGCAGAGCUGUUCUUCAAACUUUGAUCUUUUCUUUGAAGAGGGAGAGUCGGGGAAACCCACCAGUUCAGGAUUGGGACCAGAGACCCCAGGGCUUGGGGGGUCAGAGGCUUGGCCACGCCCCUUGCCAGCCAGUACCCGGAUCCGAUUACCCCACCCCGCUGCUCCUGCGACUGUACGUCUGGAAAAAUGGGAUCUUCGCGCCCCGGGUGCAGGGAAGGUUAAAUGAGAUACAGGAUUUUCGAUUCUUGCUUUCAAAGUGGGAAGGGACUGAGUUUGUUUCCUCCGUUUUCCCUUGCACGCCUCCCCCACCCCGCCCCCAGCUUGGGUGCUUUCCAAGCAAAGACGCGUCCGGGACGGAAGAAAUUAGCGAGGUAAUGGUGGUAAUAGUGGUGACAGUUAAACAAUUCUCGCUUAGUGAGCGCCUUCUGUUUGCCAGGGUGCGCGUGCCCCAGACCGUGCCUGCGCCCGUGCUGUGCGCGGUAUCAGGUCCCCCAACCUCUGCAGACCGGAGGCUGAGCUGCCUGCAGGUUGCUGCGCAAACCCACCGGGACGCAAAAGGCAAGGCUUGGUGGGAGAGCUGGAGAGGACUCAGAAGGCAGCCACGGGUUUCCUCUCAACCAUUCCUCUGCGAUGGGAAAACCCAAAGAGGGGGAAAGAGCACGAAACUGCACUCUGAAAGAGAGAAGUCAACAGAGGAGGCAGCGACCUUGCAGGAGACGAGAACAAAGGGAUUUGGCUUAGAUCACCCGCGAAGGACCCCAGGCACCUUAUGGGACGAUUUUUCUGGGUGCUGCGCACCUGCGGGGGGGCUGAUGUCGGGAUCAACCAGAGCGAGGUCGCGACCUGCGGGCCCUCGCUGACCUUGGAUUGGCGAACGAAUGAAUGCUUCUUGGGCUCCUCUGGGUUAGGGUCCUGCAUGCUCCUUCGGAAGCCCUCUGAGCUCCACCUGCCGGCCUCUUCUCAUACCUAGCCCCCAGAAGGAGUCGUUGGGGUCACCAAAGCAUUGCCCUCUGGGCAUGGGUCAAAUGGUAUAGCCGCUGUCACCUCCAUGGCCUUCUAUUCCUGGUCUGUCACCCACAGAGAACUGUGCAAAAGCAGUAGGCUCAGUAUCUGGGACUAGGUCCCAGGGCAGGGGGAGAGAGCACCUAGUGCAGUGGCUGCGGGGGAAGAGGGACGAAGCCUCGAACCCCUUGUGGUGCCCAGAACCCCACGUGUCAGCAACCACCGAGGGGAGAGGAAAAACAGCAAGGAUGAUGCCCUAUCCCAUGAGCAGGGUGUGGUCUCAACCUUAGACAUAUUAGUAAAGCUAGAGGUGGGCACAGGCUGAAGAGCAGAGUAUCAACCUUGAAGGGACACCUCUCUAGGACUACGAAGAGGAAGAGCAAGAGGACCGACCAAUGGAGCUCACAGUUCUGGAAGGCUCAGCAUCUCUUAAGCCCUUUUUAGAAAGCAAAUGAGUGUAACCAUCCAGAUGGGAACCAGCUUGGCUCCAGAGGACCCCUCCCCUUUUGCUCCUCCAGAAGCACUAACCCCACAGCCUUAUCCAAGGCCUGGCCCUCGCUCUCCAGGGGACAUUGGGCAAGUGUCAAGAACCCAGACUCCAUCACCCCAUCCUUAAAAUGAAGAAGUCCGAAGUUAUCACACUUGGGAGAACAUCUGUGCUUGUUCAUAAAAUGGCCGAAGGCAGAACCUUUAAGGGACCCAAGGGCUAACAAUUCUCUGAGCUCACCUAUCAGAGGCGCAGUCAGUGCCUGUUAGAGUCCGGGUGGGAGGAGGGGAGGGAACAGCCUAGAAAGUGCACCCUGCCCUGCAUAGCAGCCAGGAAGUCCAAGGAGCGGCCCACGGGGGGGGGGGGGGGGGAUAUGAGCUGCAAGUUUUAAUACCCACAUGCGUGGGGAGAACCCGCAGAGAAGACUGUUCAUUUGUCUUUAGGACACCAGCCAAACCCCUCACAACCCCGACAGGAAGACUGCGAGCCAGAUGCAUGCAUGAGCAGUUAAAUCGGGGUGUAUCUCCCCUAGCUGGAAUACCUGCAGUUAAAGUUCUCCAUGAACCCCAAGAGUUGGAUCUUCACAAAGACCACGGAGUGUUCAACCUCUUCCCCAAAGGCUAAAGAAGGGGGAUUGCCAGGGCCCUGCAUGUUGGGGGUCCUCUCCCCCCCAACCUCUUUAAAGUAGGGUCAUCAUGUCCUUUGGGAGAACCAGCCUUUCCUCCUCAAAGGAAGACAAAGGUGGAGGAGACAGGGGCAGAACCGGGAGGAGGGUGCAAGACCUCAGCCUCCUGCCUCUCUCCCCCACGUCCUGCUCCAGAGCUGCCCCAGCCCCCCUUCCCACCCGCACCCUGGGGGGGUGUCUGCUUGAGGUCUGCACGUGCUGGAGGGGAAGCCGCGCUCUGCUGCUCUGGUGGGAGGAUAGAUUAAAACUUGUCUGGAUAAAGCUCAAGUCUGAACCCCUCCCAAUAUCCCCCCCUGCAGGUCCUGGUUCCUGCCCUGCCCUGGGGACACUUAAAUUGCCUGGGACUGCGACCGC
rnacentral:lncRNA from 1 species